rnacentral:lncRNA from 1 species
CCGAAACUUUCCUUUCCCGACUUUCACGGAGAAGCACGCGAUGUGUUGCUGCUGGGACAAUGGUUGCCAACACCGUUUCCUUUCUCACAGCUUUACCUCACAUUCAGGUCCAGGUGGUCUGGAUUCCCGCCAACAGAGGUGCCCAUAAAAUAGCCCAUGUGCUCUUUUGUAUCUCUCGGGUCGUGUGGAGACCAACCUCACGACUUGGGCUAAUGCUUACCUUUGA